UACGAGGGGGGCAAGCGGUUGUUCGGAUUUAUUGGGCGUAAAGGGUGCGUAGGCGGUUUGAUAAGUCUGGUGUGAAAUCUAUGGGCUCAACCCAUAGUCUGCACUAGAAACUGUCGGGCUUGAGUAUGGGAGAGGUGAGUGGAAUUUCCGGUGUAGCGGUGAAAUGCGUAGAUAUCGGAAGGAACACCUGUGGCGAAAGCGGCUCACUGGACCAUAACUGACGCUGAUGCACGAAAGCGUGGGGAGCGAACAGG
rnacentral:rRNA from 1 species